AUCCCAUGAUGAGGACAUUUUCUCAGCUACUCUUUGAACCUUUCUCAUGCAUCAUACAAGGAUUCUUCGUCAUUCUUAAGAAAAUUGUUUAUCUCAACCCUUGAUCUU